GAAUCACGUUUGAAACAAGAUUUACCAUGAGAAGUCAACAGAGGUCAUAGUAUCAGGGUAGUCAUGAAUAUCUUGGGAAGGAC
rnacentral:ncRNA from 1 species